GAACGCUGGCGGCGUGCUUAACACAUGCAAGUCGAACGAGAAAGGGUUCUUCGGAACCUGAGUAGAGUGGCGCACGGGUGAGUAACACGUGGACAAUCUACCCCCGAGUCCGGGAUAACAUUUCGAAAGGGAUGCUAAUACCGGAUAAUAUCUGUUUACCUUGGUUUUGCAGAUCAAAGGUGGCCUAUCCUUGGAAGCCAUUGUUUGGGGAUGAGUCCGCGUACCAUUAGCUUGUUGGUGGGGUAACGGCCUACCAAGGCGAUGAUGGUUAGCUGGUCUGAGAGGAUGAUCAGCCACACUGGAACUGACACACGGUCCAGACUCCUACGGGAGGCAGCAGUGAGGAAUUUUGCGCAAUGGGCGAAAGCCUGACGCAGCAACGCCGCGUGAGUGAUGAAGGCCCUUGGGUCGUAAAGCUCUGUCAAUGGGGAAGAAACAGCAGAGGGUUAAUAUCCUUUUGCCUUGACGGUACCCAUGAAGGAAGCACCGGCUAACUCCGUG
rnacentral:rRNA from 1 species